AUACUCGUAAACAAGCAGUCUUUGAAUUCCUCUUGAUCCAUCCACAGCACAGUAUCCUAUGAGUUUGACAAGAUUUGGAUGCUCCACAAUACCAAGAAAUUGAACUUCAGCCAGCCACUGCUUAUGGCCCUAUGUGCAAAAUAAACCCGGUACACUCCGAGGCGAAGUCAGAGAGCACGAAGAAGCAACGGUCCGACUACACCCCGAAAAGUCAGAUUCUUGCUGCUCUUUCAAUUCAGGUGCCGAUCUUUGAUUCCUACUCCUGGACUUGCCUUUGAAGUAGAAGAAGCACUUCAUUGUCUAUAUGAUUUCCUGGGAAUUUGAUGAGCCUUUGUAAUUGAUCUCCAAGAAGUAAUGAAAUGCAAAAAACUCAGUUGUUUGGAGUCUCAAGAGUAGAGCAGAAAACAGAACAUAUAAAGAGGAGAAAACACAAGAAACACGAAACGAAGAGUCUCGAUGUCGGAAGGAGUAAACAGAUCAAAGAACUCCAAAUAGGGAACAGGGGAAAACAACAGGAGCAACGUGAAGAAGAAGUAGAAAAUGGGGAAAAACAGAAGAGAAAAAUGAAGACAGUGGUGGAGAAAAAAGACUUGUUUGGUGUACUUCUCAACAAAAAAAAUAGACAAAAAAGGCGGCUAUAUCUGAUUGUUUCCUUGUUCUUUACUUGAGACAGUCCAGCCAGACAAGGAUUUGGCAAACACAAGUUUGAAGUUGAAACAAAAUUUGUGGAGCAUUCACUUUUGACUCGUGUGAAUUCUUCUUCUACUUGUUCUUCUUCUUGUUCUUCAGGAGAUUGGUGAGAGCUUAAUGGGGGAGAAAAAGGAAAAAAAAGAAGAAAGAAGAAAAUAGCAAGACUAAUUUGGGUGAGGCUUUUGAAGUUUUAGCAAAAUACAGAGAGUCCAAAUUUAUGGGUUUUCUUGUUUGUGUUGUCUUAAUUGUCUCGUGAAGUUUGGUGGGUGAAUUGAAUUGGAAAUAAAAGCAAAUGAAAUACGCAAAGAAAGUUUUAGGGGGACACUGUUUGGUGUGUUUGUUUUGACUCGCCCGAGUUGGCUCAUGGACUCAACCGCCAACUAUAGAGAAUCAGAGAUGUUGAAGAUGGAGGGCUGUUUCCGUACCAACGGUCGCUUUCAUUCAUUGGGAUUUGGGACAAAACUCUAUCAAAUACGGCCUUUUGGAUGUCAAAAUAAACAUUUCCUACAGAUCCAAUCAUGAUUUCUCAGGUGACAAAUUCUUUUUACAUUA